rnacentral:rRNA from 1 species
AGUGAACGCUGGCGGUAGGCCUAACACAUGCAAGUCGAACGGCAGCACAGUAAGAGCUUGCUCUUACGGGUGGCGAGUGGCGGACGGGUGAGGAAUACAUCGGAAUCUACUUUUUCGUGGGGGAUAACGUAGGGAAACUUACGCUAAUACCGCAUACGACCUACGGGUGAAAGCAUGGGAUCUUCGGACCUUGCGCGAUUGAAUGAGCCGAUGUCGGAUUAGCUAGUUGGCGGGGUAAAGGCCCACCAAGGCGACGAUCCGUAGCUGGUCUGGGAGGAUGAUCGGCCACACUGGAACUGAGACACGGUCCAGACUCCUACGGGAGGCAGCAGUGGGGAAUAUUGGACAAUGGGCGCAAGCCUGAUCCAGCCAUACCGCGUGGGUGAAGAAGGCCUUCGGGUUGUAAAGCCCUUUUGUUGGGAAAGAAAAGCAGCAGGUUAAUACCCCGCUGUUCUGACGGUACCCAAAGAAUAAGCACCGGCUAACUUCGUG